UGUUCCAACAAACUGUCAAAGUUCUAGAAGCAAUAAAGGACUUUCAAGAGAAGAAUCUUUUGGGACAAGGAAUAAACAAUAUACACAGGGCUAAAGGAUGAUGAGACUGAAGCUUUCUAAAUGAUGAGAAAUAAUCAAACAGUUGUGAGGAGAUGGAAAAACAAAAAGAAAUCUUUCAGACGACAAAGGCUCGUAAGGACAGACGGAUCAAGACCCAUCCGCAUUCUUGGAGACGUGCGCAGAGCGAAAAGGAUGAAUGAAUGGAAGACAGGCGCGUGUGAAACGCAGCAGGUCCGGCCGGCAACUAGACCAGCAGCAGCGAUCAGUAGGCCUCGCUCCUCCCCCUUCCCUCCUCCAUGACAGCCCAGUAACAAGCAUGGAGGGGAGAGGACAAUG